UAUCUGAAGCCGCAAAGAAAUUUCGCUCUAUAAUGUUCUAAAUGUGAGUGCUUAAUGUCAAAAAUUAAAAUAUAUACUUGAAAUAUUGGUAUAUUAUUUCAAGUUAUACCCUUUGCCCUUUGGAAGUAAACAAAUAUUGAAGAAAGUGUUGUGCCUUCACAGAAUUUAAAUUGGCAUUAGGAAUAGAUUUCCUUGAUUUAGUAAUGAUAUUGCUCAUAGAAAUUGAUAAUAUACUAUUUUAUAUUCACUCGUUCUAUUUUUAAAUUGAAUAUUUAUGUAAGUAUUAUGUAUAACACGAUAUAAAUAAUUUAACGACAAGAAAUUAAAAUUUUAAGUGCCAAUAUUGAUUAUUUUUCCAGUUUUAUUCAAAUAUAUUGAAAUUAAUAUGGAAACAAAAGUUCAUAAAUAUUAUUUUUAAUAACAAGAAUUGAGAUUUGGGGAUAAGUUUGAAAAGCCAUGUCAGAAGAGUAGGAUUAAAGACAAAGUAUUAAGAGUAAUUGGGCUGUUCCUGAACAAUAUUGAAUAUAAAUAUUCAAAAAUAUGAUAAACUGCAUAUCCUACUAAGUAGAUCAAUACCAAAAUUCCAUUAGAGAAAUAAGUUAAAAUUAUGUUUUACUUGUAUAAUUUUCUUGCUAUUUGUCCACCAUUAUUUGUGACUUAGAAAUUAAAUAGUCAAAAAGAA